rnacentral:rRNA from 1 species
GCGCACCAGGCGCGAAUUUUUCACAAUGGGGGAAACCCUGAUGGAGCGACGCCGCGUGGAGGAUGAAGGCGUUUUCGUCGUAAACUCCUGUCAAACGGGAACAAGAAAGUGAUAGUACCGUUAGAGGAAGAGACGGCUAACUCUGUGCCAGCGGCCGCGGUAAUACAGAGGUCUCAAGCGUUGUUCGGAUUCAUUGGGCGUAAAGGGUGCGUAGGUGGCUUGGUAAGUUGAAGGUGAAAUCUCGGGGCUUAACUCCGAAACUGCCUUCAAUACUGCUGAGCUCGAGGAUUGUAGAGGAGAAUGGAAUUCACGGUGUAGCAGUGAAAUGCGUAGAUAUCGUGAGGAAGACCAGUGGCGAAGGCGAUUCUCUGGGCAAUUCCUGACACUGAGGCGCGAAGGCCAGGGAAGCAAACGGGAUUAGAUACCCGCGUAGU